UUUACUUUUUUAAAUUUUUCAAGAAACAACAACCCCAAAAGGCUCCAGAUAAAACAGGAAACGUCCGUCAGCCACACUUAACAGGCAAUCUGUCGCCUCCAAAACAAUUCCUAAGGAUGCAAUAAGCAGGAAGAUGGAAAGGAAAACAAACAGACCAGACGCGAUAAGGCCAAGCGCGCUUCGCCCUCCCCGAGUGACGCAGUCCUCGGCUGGUAUCUGAAUGGCGCUGCCAGGGCCGCAUCCAAGGGAGGGUAUUUAUAACUCUCACCGUCCCCUUCCUCCUGGGAAACCGGCAGUGACACUUGGGGGCUUCCAAAAACCCCUCUGGCAGCAAGGAAGGAGGAGAACAACCGCUAUGGUCCCCAGGGACUCUCUGGAGCAUCACCUUCCAUUUGUGGGGAGGAAGAUGAUGCUCUGGUUCUCAUGGGUCAUCUCCGGGACGGAGAUGCUGGAGCCAGUCCUCCAGUUCUGCAACGCCUUUUGAAGCACCAGAGAAAGAAGGUUGUUGUUUGACACAUGUAAUGCAUACCUGCCAAUAUUUCGCGGAUGAAAACAAGGACAGUGUUUGAACAGUGCUAUCUCAAUGCCCUAAAGACAGCAUCUGAUCCCAUCUGAUCCUGGAAGCUAAGCAAAGCCAUCCUGGAUAGCGCUUGGAUGGGAGACCACCAACGCAUACCAGAUACUGGAGGCUCUAUUUCAG